rnacentral:rRNA from 1 species
GAUGAACGCUGGCGGUAUGCUUAACACAUGCAAGUCGAACGGACUCUUCGGAGUUAUUGGCGGACGUGUGAGUAACGCGUGAGAAUCUGGCUUUGGGUUCGGGACACCCACUGGAAACGGUGGCUAAUACCGGAUGUGCCGAGAGGUAAAAGAGAAAUUGCCUGCAGAUGGGCUCGCGUCUGAUUAGCUAGUUGGUGAGGUAAAGGCUCACCAAGGCAGCGAUCAGUAGCUGGUCUGAGAGGAUGACCAGCCACACGGGGACUGAGACACGGCCCAGACUCCUACGGGAGGCAGCAGUGGGGAAUUUUCCGAAAUGGGCGAAAGCCUGACGGAGAAAUACCGCGUGAGGGAAGAAGGCUCGUGGGUUGUAAACCUCUUGUCUGAGGGAAGAACAAAAUGACGGUACCUAAGGAAGCAGCAUCGGCUAACUCCGUG